GCAAGUCGAACGAACCGUUUACGGUGAGUGGCGCACGGGUGCGUAACACGUGGGAACAUACCCUUUGGUACGGAACAACGUCUGGAAACGGGCGCUAAUACCGUAUAAUGUCUUCGGACCAAAGAUUUAUCGCCAAAGGAUUGGCCCGCGUCUGAUUAGCUUGUUGGUAAGGUAAUGGCUUACCAAGGCGACGAUCAGUAGCUGGUCUGAGAGGAUGAUC
rnacentral:rRNA from 1 species